AUUGAACGCUGGCGGCAGGCCUAACACAUGCAAGUCGAGCGAGCGGCGGACGGGUGAGUAAUGUCUGGGAAACUGCCCGAUGGAGGGGGAUAACUACUGGAAACGGUGGCUAAUACCGCAUCCUAUCAGCUGACCCCAUAUGGGAUUAGCUGGUAGUUGGGGUAAAGGCUCACCAAGGCGACGAUCUCUAGCUGGUCUCAGAGGAUUAUCAGCAAAACUGGUACUGAGCAACGGUCCAGACUCCUACGGGAGGCAGCAGUGGGGAAUAUUGCACAAUGGGCGCAAGCCUGAUGCAGCCAUGCCGCGUGUAUGAAGAAGGCCUUCGGGUUGUAAAGUACUUUCAGCGGGGAGGCGUUACCCGCAGAAGAAGCACCGGCUAACUCCGUGCCAGCAGCCGCGGUAAUUC
rnacentral:rRNA from 1 species